rnacentral:misc_RNA from 1 species
GAUUCAAUGGAGCUCACCGCACAGCAGCUGAGGGGCUUCGACGGCUCCGACCCCAGCAAGCCCAUCUACGUGUCGAUCCGCGGCACCGUCUACGAUGUCACCACCGGCAAGGGCUUCUACGGCCCCGGCGGCCCCUACGCCGUCUUCGCCGGCCGGGAGGCGAGCCGUGCGCUGGCCAAGAUGAGUAAAAGCGAGCAGGACGUCAACGGCGAUCUCUCUGGCCUCACCGAGAAGGAGAUCGGCGUGCUCGAGGACUGGGACAAGAAAUUCCAAGCUAAGUAUCCCGUUGUCGGUCGCCUCACCUCUGCAUAAUUUUAGGUUUUAACUAUGGUGCCCUAAAUUAGUUGUUGGUGAUGGGAUUUGUUCAAUAUAGCAACAUGGAUUUAUGCUUAUUUGUGUGAAUG